rnacentral:rRNA from 1 species
AGAGUUUGAUCAUGGCUCAGAUUGAACGCUGGCGGCAGGCCUAACACAUGCAAGUCGAGCGCGAAAGGCUUUCGGGCUGAGUAGAGCGGCGGACGGGUGAGUAACGCGUAGGAAUCUACCUGGUAGUGGGGGACAACUUGGGGAAACUCAAGCUAAUACCGCAUACGCCCUAAGGGGGAAAGCGGGGGACCUUCGGGCCUCGCGCUAUCAGAUGAGCCUGCGUAGGAUUAGCUUGUUGGUGAGGUAAAGGCUCACCAAGGCGACGAUCCUUAGCUGGUCUGAGAGGAUGAUCAGCCACACUGGGACUGAGACACGGCCCAGACUCCUACGGGAGGCAGCAGUGGGGAAUAUUGCGCAAUGGGGGCAACCCUGACGCAGCCAUGCCGCGUGUGUGAAGAAGGCCUUCGGGUUGUAAAGCACUUUCAAUGGGGAAGAAAAGCGGGUCGUUAAUAGCGGUCCGCCCUGACAUUACCUUUAGAAGAAGCACCGGCUAACUUCGUGCCAGCAGCCGCGGUAAUACGGAGGGUGCGAGCGUUAAUCGGAAUUACUGGCGUAAAGCGCGCGUAGGUGGUUUGUUAAGUCAGCUGUGAAAGCCCCGGGCUCAACCUGGGAACUGCAGUUGAUACUGGCCGACUAGAGUACGAGAGGGAGGUAGAAUUCCAUGUGUAGCGGUGAAAUGCGUAGAUAUAUGGAGGAAUACCGGUGGCGAAGGCGGCCUCCUGGCUCGAUACUGACGCUGAGGUGCGAAAGCGUGGGGAUCAAACAGGAUUAGAUACCCUGGUAGUCCACGCCGUAAACGAUGUCUACUAGCCGUUGGGAGACUUGAUUUCUUAGUGGCGCAGCUAACGCAAUAAGUAGACCGCCUGGGGAGUACGGCCGCAAGGUUAAAACUCAAAUGAAUUGACGGGGGCCCGCACAAGCGGUGGAGCAUGUGGUUUAAUUCGAUGCAGCGCGAAGAACCUUACCAGGUCUUGACAUCCUCGGAACUUUCCAGAGAUGGAUUGGUGCCUUCGGGAACCGAGAGACAGGUGCUGCAUGGCUGUCGUCAGCUCGUGUCGUGAGAUGUUGGGUUAAGUCCCGUAACGAGCGCAACCCUUGUCCUUAGUUGCCAGCACGUAAUGGUGGGAACUCUAAGGAGACUGCCGGUGACAAACCGGAGGAAGGUGGGGACGACGUCAAGUCAUCAUGGCCCUUACGACCUGGGCUACACACGUGCUACAAUGGAGCGCACAGAGGGCAGCAAAAGCGCGAGCUGGAGCCAAUCCCACAAAACGUUUCGUAGUCCGGAUCGGAGUCUGCAACUCGACUCCGUGAAGUCGGAAUCGCUAGUAAUCGUGGAUCAGAAUGCCACGGUGAAUACGUUCCCGGGCCUUGUACACACCGCCCGUCACACCAUGGGAGUGGGUUGCUCCAGAAGUGGUUAGCCUAACCUUCGGGGGGGCGAUCACCACGGAGUGAUUCAUGACUGGGGUGAAGUC